AAGAACUGGACCCAUCAGCCCAGGAAGUAGCAGGACCGGGAUCUGAUUUGUGAGAGGGGCUCCCACGACCGCACCGAGGCAUGAACAGGGAAUGGCUCCAAAGUCGGAAACCCUCUGAGGACAUUCCAUGCUGGUGUGGCUUCUCGAGUGAGGAAAAAAGCCCUUAAUUCCUUCCCGGAAACCAUCGAUGGAGAAGAGCAGCUGGCCAGCUGAGGCUGUGCCCUCUGAUCUGCUCUGUUCCCACCUUGCUUGCUUCCAUCAUGCAGCCUCAUCAGUAUCUGCCUUCACUCCCACCUUCAGUCAAGCAGGAAACUGGACCCAGGUCUGUAGUAAUUACGCCUGAGGUAUCUCUAAUUGCUGUCCAAUAGUGAUCUCAGCUGUUUGCAAAGUCAGCAGAGGCACCACCUUUGAGAGGCCAAGGUCUGCAACGUGUAACCUUUGUUUAUCUGGAACAAAUCACCGGACCCUUUAAACCAGUCAAGAAGCAGAACGAAAGGGGCAGGUGGAUUUCAUCAGCCGGGGACUGGGACAGCGCCCCUCACUGAUGGCAGCAGCUGGAGGUGAGACUGAAGGUCUGAUCUGAUGGCCGUCCAGGGCCAGCCCCCUGCAUGCUGUGUCACAUUCAGCAAGUGAGCCCAACCACUCAUGGAUCGUACAUUCAUACACAUGCGUGGGAUCACCACAUUCCAUGGAUAAGAAGCCAAGAGGCGACAUGUGCCCCAGAAGGUUGUGGCUUUGGGAACUGUCAAAGCCAUAUACUCAGGUGCAACUGCCGGAAAUGGGGUCCACAUCUAUUAGAGGUCUCGAUCUCCUUGUGGAGAGAGGAGUUACUGGUACCAGUUCAGCCCUUCACCCAGGGACAUUAUACCUGAAAGCUGGAAUCCUUCAUUUAGGAGUUUUCCUCUUCUUUAGAAUAUCCUCCCAAAGGUCUAGUCUCUCUUCUAUCUCUCUGGGAUGGAUAAGGUACAGGGAUGAUGACCAAGAAAGUAAAUUCUAUUCUUUUCCCCAAAUCUCGCAGCCCUUGGCUCCCCAUGCCUCUGUCUUUCACCUAGAAGCUGCGUCUGAGGCGAUCUGCUACCAGUAGCUUCUACUGUGCCUCACCAGAUAGCACGCCAGGACGCCUGCAUUUCAGGAUGCAUGCCUCCAUCCUCGCCACGUUCACAUUCUGGCUGUGCUGAUCGCAUCGGAACACACAACCCAACAGCUGUGUUUCUCUACUCGUGUAGUACAUAUUUA